UACGUAGGGUGCAAGCGUUAAUCGGAAUUACUGGGCGUAAAGCGUGCGCAGGCGGUGAUGUAAGACAGAUGUGAAAUCCCCGGGCUCAACCUGGGAACGGCAUUGGAGACUGUCAAGCUAGAGUGCGUCAGAGGGGGGUAGAAUUCCACGUGUAGCAGUGAAAUGCGUAGAGAUGUGGAGGAAUACCGAUGGCGAAGGCAGCCCCCUGGGAUGACACUGACGCUGAAGCACGAAAGCGUGGGGAGCAAACAGG
rnacentral:rRNA from 1 species